rnacentral:ncRNA from 1 species
CCCGCUGAAUUUAAGCAUAUUACUAAGCGGAGAAAAAGAAACUAACCAGGAUUGCCUCAGUAGCGGCGAGCGAAGAGGGAAGGGCCCAGCGCCGAAUCCUGUCCGACGGGCGGGCAUGGGAAAUGUGGCGUAUAGAAGACCGCUUUGCCCGGUGUCGAUCGGGGGCCUGAGUCCUUCUGAUCGAGGCUCAGCCCGUGGACGGUGUGAGGCCGGUAACGGCCCCCGUCGCGCCGGGGUCCGGUCUUCUCGGAGUCGGGUUGCUUGGGAAUGCAGCCCAAAGUGGGUGGUAAACUCCAUCUAAGGCUNNNNNNNNNNNNNNNNNNNNGAAGGGUUCCAUGUGAACAGCAGUUGAACAUGGGUCAGUCGGUCCUAAGAGAUGGGCGAACGCCGUUCGGAAGGGAGUCGGGUUCAGAUCCCCGAAUCCGGAGUGGCGGAGAUGGGCGCCGCGAGGCGUCCAGUGCGGUAACGCGACCGAUCCCAGAGAAGCUGGCGGGAGCCCCGGGGAGAGUUCUCUUUUCUUUGUGAAGGGCAGGGCGCCCUGGAAUGGGUUCGCCCCGAGAGAGGGGCCCAAGCCCUGGAAAGCGUCGCGGUUCCGGCAGCGUCCGGUGAGCUCUCCUGGCCCUUGAAAAUCCGGGGGAGAGGGUGUAAAUCUUGCGCCGGGCCGUACCCAUAUCCGCAGCAGGUCUCCAAGGUGAACAGCCUCU